UUAACUCAAGUUUGUAUGAAGUUUGCCUACGUUUUCCGCUAGGGGCGCUGUUCUAACUGCAUACAAAUUUGAGUUA
rnacentral:pre_miRNA from 1 species